UUACGUGUACUACAAUUCUUAAUUUCUUACUUAAUCGUAGAAAAUGGAGUUGUGUAAUUUGUGAGUUCUGUGUUUCUAGAUUAUGCAACUUGGGUUCAUAGAGCUAAUUGUCGGGGCGUUUUAAUUUGAUAUCGUUAUGGGGUCAAGUAUGGUGUUCUUUCGUUUUAUGUUGAUAGGUUAGACAGAACAGUUGUUUGGUAGAUCAUGCCUAGGAAGAAAUGUGCUUUUGAAGGAGCCAAUUGAUUCUUAGAUUUGUAUACUGCUGAAAAAUUGCAUUUCAGAUGUUCUCCAUUGUGCUUGUUGCACAUUUGGAAGCAGGCUUCUGUUUGUUAGAAAUGCUGUUGUUUUAUCCAAAUCGAUGUUUCCAUUGUUUGGAAAUCAGGUGUCCUAUUCUCAAUGGCAGCGUGCAUUUACCAUGUCAUUUUAUUUCUUGGGAUGUACUCACAGUAUUUAUUAAUAUAUUAUCUUAUUAUUUUGGUUAUUGGACAAUCUCACACAUUUUGCAGCAUUUCUUCCUCCUCGUCAGCUUCUUGUAAUUUUCUUUUUUAUGAUGCCGUUAAGUGGUCAUGCAUGUCAAAUGUGAUGUGAUAUGUAAUGGUUGCCUUUGUUUCUAAUCUUGAAAAUAUGAAGGUGCAUGAAUCGUGCUACCUAUCAUAAAAUGAAAUAUAAAAGGUAAAUGAGAGGAAGUAAAAUGAAACAAAUGUAACAUCCUCAUCCUAUUAAAGAUAGAAUGCUACAUAUAUUAUAGCACCAAGAUUUAAAAUUUUAAAAACUGAAUACUUAAGCAAUCUUCUGUUGUGGACCUUUUAGAGAUGUAUAGUGAUCUCCCUCAGUGGAAUGCAAGUUUAAUUAGAGCAAUUCAUGACUGGAAGGUUGAUUUCUUUAAUACAUUCUUUAAUGUGUUGUAAUCCACUAUUUUGAGAGUAAGGGUGAAGACAAGCUCUUUUGGGGACCCUUCCAAGAAAGGGAUGUUAAAUUUUCGUUCUUUCUAUAAUGUCUUUAUUCCUCAAUUUUAACAUCACCUUUCCGUGGAAGAGAAUAUGGUGGACUAAGGUGCCUCCAAGAGUUGUGGCCAUGGUUUCAUAUGUUUUUAUUUUUUUUUUCUUUUGAAAUUUUUCUAAUUUUUUGUAAAACCUUUUCAACUCCAGCCCAAACACCUUUUGAAUCCCUAACAAAUUUCUAUUUCUGCAAAAAAAAAAUAAAAAUUGUCCAAUGAUUUGCUUAGGUUUCCAUGAAAAACACCCCAAAAACCAAAAUAACUUUCAAAUCUACCUAUCCACUUUAACAAACCCCAAUAUAAAACACAUCUCAACAAAUUUUAUCCAAACAAUUUCUCAUUUUUUUUCUAUCCAUUUCCACAAAAUCCAUUAAAGAACACAUCUCAAUUCUUUUUUUCAAAACCUUUAAAAACACAUAUUAACCAGACAUGGCCAUUUCUUUUGCUUGGACAGUCUUUGUAGGAAAGAUUUUUACCAUGGAUAAUCU